UACGUAGGGCGCGAGCGUUGUCCGGAAUUAUUGGGCGUAAAGAGCUCGUAGGCGGCCUGUUGCGUCCGCUGUGAAAUCCCGGGGCUUAACCCCGGGCGUGCAGUGGAUACGGGCUGGCUGGAGGCAGGCAGGGGAGAACGGAAUUCCCGGUGUAGCGGUGAAAUGCGCAGAUAUCGGGAGGAACACCGGUGGCGAAGGCGGUUCUCUGG
rnacentral:rRNA from 1 species